GACGAACGCUGGCGGCGUGCCUAAUACAUGCAAGUAGAACGCUGAAGGAGGAGCUUGCUUCUCUGGAUGAGUUGCGAACGGGUGAGUAACGCGUAGGUAACCUGCCUGGUAGCGGGGGAUAACUAUUGGAAACGAUAGCUAAUACCGCAUAAGAGUAGAUGUUGCAUGACAUUUGCUUAAAAGGUGCAAUUGCAUCACUACCAGAUGGACCUGCGUUGUAUUAGCUAGUUGGUGAGGUAACGGCUCACCAAGGCAACGAUACAUAGCCGACCUGAGAGGGUGAUCGGCCACACUGGGACUGAGACACGGCCCAAACUCCUACGGGAGGCAGCAGUAGGGAAUCUUCGGCAAUGGACGGAAGUCUGACCGAGCAACGCCGCGUGAGUGAAGAAGGUUUUCGGAUCGUAAAGCUCUGUUGUAAGAGAAGAACGAGUGUGAGAGUGGAAAGUUCACACUGUGACGGUAUCUUACCAGAAAGGGACGGCUAACUACGUG
rnacentral:rRNA from 1 species